UACGAACCAUCCAAACGUUAUUCGGAAUUACUGGGCUUAAAGGGUGCGUAGGCUGCGCAGCAAGUUGGGUGUGAAAUCCCUCGGCUUAACCGAGGAACUGCGCCCAAAACUACUGUGCUUGAGGGAGACAGAGGUGAGCGGAACUUAGGGUGGAGCGGUGAAAUGCGUUGAUAUCCUAAGGAACACCCGUGGCGAAAGCGGCUCACUGGGUCUCUUCUGACGCUGAUGCACGAAAGCUAGGGGAGCGAACGGG
rnacentral:rRNA from 1 species